AACGUUCUUACGCCAUACAAGAAAUCCAUUUUUGUGGUGAACAAGGAGACAGCCAGUGGACAAAAGAACUAGGAGCAAUCGAAGGAGGAAGAAGCCUAGCGAGUUGAACUGUUCCAAACGAAAAGUCAUUCUUAAUUUUAACGGAGGAAAGAAGGAGCUAAGCCAUUUUCCUACUUUUUCCGGGAGGACAGAAAAUCUUGGUUCCGAUUUUCCACGGUGAAAAAAGUGUGUGUGUGCGCGAUUGAGGAGUUUCUAGAGGUGGAAACAGAACGGUGGUUAGGAAGAAGAAAUCGAGUGAAGAACAGGCACCAACCUUGAUCAAUCGUCGAGAAAAUUGACUCGGAUAUCCUGCUAUUCACAUAGUAUUCUGCAUUUAGAGCGCCUUUGUAGAUAUUUGAUGCUUAUUUAAAAAAGAGA